AUUGAACGCUGGCGGCAGGCCUAACACAUGCAAGUCGAACGGCAGCACAGUAAUAGCUUGCUGUUACGGCGGCGGAGGGGCGGACGAUGCCUGGAUACAUCGCAGUCUACGUUUUCUUACGUGAGAACGUAGGCGAUCUUACCCUAAUACCGCAGACGGCCUACGGGUGAAAGCUUGGGAUCUUCCGACCUUGCGCGAGUGUAUGAGCCGAGGUCGGAUUAGCUAGUUGGCGGGGUAAAGGCCCACCAAGGCGACGAUCCGUAGCUGGUCUGAGAGGAUGAUCAGCCACACUGGAACUGAGACACGGUCCAGACUCCUACGGGAGGCAGCAGUGGGGAAUAUUGGACAAUGGGCGAAAGCCUGAUCCAGCCAUGCCGCGUGGGUGAAGAAGGUCUUCGGGUUGUAAAGCCCUUUUGUUGGGAAAGAAAAGCAGCAGGUUAAUACCUCGCUGUUUUGACGGUACCAAAAGAAUAAGCACCGGCUAACUUCGUG
rnacentral:rRNA from 1 species